GACGGGGCCCGCACAAGCGGUGGAGCAUGUGGUUUAAUUCGAUGCAACGCGAAGAACCUUACCUGGACUUGACAUCCCAGGAAUUCCCUGGAAACAGGGAAGUGCCCUUCGGGGAGCCUGGUGACAGGUGCUGCACGGCUGUCGUCAGCUCGUGUCGUGAGAUGUUGGGUUAAGUCCCGCAACGAGCGCAACCCCUGUCUUUAAUUGCCAUCAUUAAGUUGGGCACUUUAAAGAGACUGCCGGUGUUAAACCGGAGGAAGGUGGGGAUGACGUCAAGUCCUCAUGGCCUUUAUGACCAGGGCUACACACGUACUACAAUGGCCGGUACAAAGGGCAGCGACACAGCGAUGUGAAGCGAAUCCCGAAAAGCCGGUCUCAGUCCGGAUUGGAGUCUGCAACUCGACUCCAUGAAGUUGGAAUCGCUAGUAAUCGCGGAUCAGCACGCCGCGGUGAAUACGUUCCCGGGCCUU
rnacentral:rRNA from 1 species